rnacentral:misc_RNA from 1 species
UUUUGAAGACUGUGGUUAGCUACAACAGACCAACGAAUUAAGAAAAAUGAUAAACUUAUUGAUCAGGUUCAUCAUCCAGGCACAUAACUUGAAACUCAAUUGGGUAUCCAAAACAGAAUAUGUUGUGAAGAUUAUCAUUUCUUAUUCUUUUAUGAUAUGAAAUUCACAUUUCAGUCAGCAAUGACAACAAAAAUAUACUAAAACGACUUGAUGUUAGCCCCUCACUAAUUGGAUUGGUUAUAUAAAUAAUAAUAAUAACAACAAAGGGAAAAACAUAAAAGAAAAAUGAACUGAAAUUUUGGAAUAUGCAUUAAAACUAAUUAAUUUUAAAACGACCACAAACAGUACAUAAAUUGUAAACAGAUAAAAAAUAAAAUAAAAUAAUUCUUGAUAUUCUUUAUCACCAAACAAACUAAUAAACGAGCUUGGUGUUCCAAGAUUAGCCCGAUAUAGCAGAGUUCAGAUCAAAGAAACAACAAACCUAGCAUUAACUCAGAAUCAUUUUAAAUGCAAGAAAUUAAAAGGGAAUAUUUAUGAUAAGUUACUGAGAGAGUUACCUUUAGGG